rnacentral:rRNA from 1 species
GACGAACGCUGACGGCGUGCCUAACACAUGCAAGUCGAGCGAAUGAAGUUCCUUCGGGAACGGAUUUAGCGGCGGACGGGUGAGUAACACGUGGGCAACCUGCCUCAUAGAGGGGAAUAGCCUUCCGAAAGGGAGAUUAAUACCGCAUAAGAUUGUAGUGCCGCAUGGUACAGCAAUUAAAGGAGCAAUCCGCUAUGAGAUGGGCCCGCGGCGCAUUAGCUAGUUGGUGAGGUAACGGCUCACCAAGGCGACGAUGCGUAGCCGACCUGAGAGGGUGAUCGGCCACAUUGGGACUGAGACACGGCCCAGACUCCUACGGGAGGCAGCAGUGGGGAAUAUUGCACAAUGGGGGAAACCCUGAUGCAGCAACGCCGCGUGAGUGAUGACGGCCUUCGGGUUGUAAAGCUCUGUCUUCAGGGACGAUAAUGACGGUACCUGAGGAGGAAGCCACGGCUAACUACGUG